rnacentral:tRNA from 1 species
GGGGUUAUAGCUCAGUAGUAGAGCACUUGCCUAGCAUGCAUGAGGCACUGGGUUCGAUCCCCAGCACCA